rnacentral:rRNA from 1 species
UACAGAGGUCUCAAGCGUUUGUUCGGAUUCAUUGGGCGUAAAGGGUGCGUAGGUGGCGUCGUAAGUCAGGUGUGAAAUUUCGGAGCUUAACUCCGUAACUGCAUUUGAUACUGCGGUGCUUGAGGACUGGAGAGGAGACUGGAAUUACGGUGUAGCAGUGAAAUGCGUAGAGAUCGUAAGGAAGACCAGUGGCGAAGGCGGGUCUCUGGACGAGUUC